rnacentral:rRNA from 1 species
UACGUAGGGGGCAAGCGUUGUCCGGAUUUACUGGGCGUAAAGAGCGCGUAGGCGGAAGGUGAAGCGUGGCCUGAAAGCCCCCGGCUCAACCGGGGAGGGCGGCUGCGAACUGGCCUUCUUGAGGGCGAUAGAGGGGGGCGGAAUUCCUGGUGUAGCGGUGAAAUGCGUAGAUAUCAGGAGGAACACCUGUGGUGUAGACAGCUUACUGGACCAUUUCUGACGCUGAGACACGAAAGCGUGGGUAGCAAACAGG